ACUCCGGUGGUAUAAGAUGGGCCCGCGUCUGAUUAGCUAGUUGGUGAGGUAACGGCUCUACCAAGGCAACGAUCAGUAGCCGGCUUGAGAGAGUGGACGGCCACAUUGGGACUGAGACACGGCCCAAACUCCUACGGGAGGCAGCAGUGGGGAAUAUUGCACAAUGGGGGGAACCCUGAUGCAGCGACGCCGCGUGAGUGAAGAAGUACUUCGGUAUGUAAAGCUCUAUCAGCAGGGAAGAAGAAUGGCGGUACCUGACUAAGAAGCUCCGGCUAAAUAC
rnacentral:rRNA from 1 species